CCUACGGGAGGCAGCAGUAGGGAAUAUUGGACAAUGGGGGAAACCCUGAUCCAGCAACGCCGCGUGGAUGAUGAAGCUUUUUGGAGUGUAAAAUCCUGUCAGUGGGGACGAAACGUCCGGGUAGGAAAUGACCCGGGCCUGACUGUACCCGCAGAGGAAGUUCCGGCCAACUCCGUGCCAGCAGCCGCGGUAAUACGGGGGGAACGAGCGUUGUUCGGAUUUACUGGGCGUAAAGGGCACGCAGGCGGGGAGACAAGUCAGAUGUGAAAACCCAAAGCUUAACUCUGGGCCUGCAUUUGAUACUGUUUCUCUUGAGUACGGGAGAGGAUAGCGGAAUUCUUGGUGUAGCGGUGAAAUGCGUAGAUAUCAAGAAGAACACCGGUGGCGAAGGCGGCUAUCUGGCCCGAUACUGACGCUCAUGUGCGAAGGCAAGGGGAGCAAACAGGAUUAGAUACCCUGGUAGUCCUUGCAGUAAACGAUGGAUACUAGGUGUUGGAGGUAUCGACUCCUCCAGUGCCGCAGCUAACGCAUUAAGUAUCCCGCCUGGGGAGUACGCUCGCAAGAGUGAAACUCAAAGGAAUUGACGG
rnacentral:rRNA from 1 species